rnacentral:rRNA from 1 species
GCCCCGGUAAACGGCGGCCGUAACUAUAACGGUCCUAAGGUAGCGAAAUUCCUUGUCGGGUAAGUUCCGACCUGCACGAAUGGCGUAAUGAUGGCCAGGCUGUCUCCACCCGAGACUCAGUGAAAUUGAACUCGCUGUGAAGAUGCAGUGUACCCGCGGCAAGACGGAAAGACCCCGUGAACCUUUACUAUAGCUUGACACUGAACAUUGAGCCUUGAUGUGUAGGAUAGGUGGGAGGCUUAGAAGUGUGGACGCCAGUCUGCAUGGAGCCGACCUUGAAAUACCACCCUUUAAUGUUUGAUGUUCUAACGUUGACCCGUAAUCCGGGUUGCGGACAGUGUCUGGUGGGUAGUUUGACUGGGGCGGUCUCCUCCUAAAGAGUAACGGAGGAGCACGAAGGUUGGCUAAUCCUGGUCGGACAUCAGGAGGUUAGUGCAAUGGCAUAAGCCAGCUUGACUGCGAGCGUGACGGCGCGAGCAGGUGCGAAAGCAGGUCAUAGUGAUCCGGUGGUUCUGAAUGGAAGGGCCAUCGCUCAACGGAUAAAAGGUACUCCGGGGAUAACAGGCUGAUACCGCCCAAGAGUUCAUAUCGACGGCGGUGUUUGGCACCUCGAUGUCGGCUCAUCACAUCCUGGGGCUGAAGUAGGUCCCAAGGGUAUGGCUGUUCGCCAUUUAAAGUGGUACGCGAGCUGGGUUUAGAACGUCGUGAGACAGUUCGGUCCCUAUCUGCCGUGGGCGCUGGAGAACUGAGGGGGGCUGCUCCUAGUACGAGAGGACCGGAGUGGACGCAUCACUGGUGUUCGGGUUGUCAUGCCAAUGGCACUGCCCGGUAGCUAAAUGCGGAAGAGAUAAGUGCUGAAAGCAUCUAAGCACGAAACUUGCC